AAAAAAAUAAACACUAGGUUUCUGUUUCCAACUUUGACUGUCCGUCUUAUAAGAAAUUUUUUUUAUAAUACGUAUUUUUAUUGUUGUUAGAUGAUAAAACAUGAUUAAUAUUUUAUGCGUAACUUGUCUUUUUAAUUUUUUUAUAAUUUUUUUAAAUAAGACGGACGGUGAAACGUUGGGUACGGAAAUCAGGGUUUGUCUUUUU
rfam:Oryza glaberrima chromosome 1 Oglab01_0250_17, whole genome shotgun sequence.